UGGGGGUGGGGCAGCUAUAAUGCAGUCGAACGAACUCUGGUAUUGAUUGGUGCUUGCAUCAUGAUUUACAUUUGAGUGAGUGGCGAACUGGUGAGUAACACGUGGGAAACCUGCCCAGAAGCGGGGGAUAACACCUGGAAACAGAUGCUAAUACCGCAUAACAACUUGGACCGCAUGGUCCAAGUUUGAAAGAUGGCUUCGGCUAUCACUUUUGGAUGGUCCCGCGGCGUAUUAGCUAGAUGGUGGGGUAACGGCUCACCAUGGCAAUGAUACGUAGCCGACCUGAGAGGGUAAUCGGCCACAUUGGGACUGAGACACGGCCCAAACUCCUACGGGAGGCAGCAGUAGGGAAUCUUCCACAAUGGACGAAAGUCUGAUGGAGCAACGCCGCGUGAGUGAAGAAGGGUUUCGGCUCGUAAAACUCUGUUGUUAAAGAAGAACAUAUCUGAGAGUAACUGUUCAGGUAUUGACGGUAUUUAACCAGAAAGCCACGGCUAACUACGUGCCAGCAGCCGCGGUAAUACGUAGGUGGCAAGCGUUGUCCGGAUUUAUUGGGCGUAAAGCGAGCGCAGGCGGUUUUUUAAGUCUGAUGUGAAAGCCUUCGGCUCAACCGAAGAAGUGCAUCGGAAACUGGGAAACUUGAGUGCAGAAGAGGACAGUGGAACUCCAUGUGUAGCGGUGAAAUGCGUAGAUAUAUGGAAGAACACCAGUGGCGAAGGCGGCUGUCUGGUCUGUAACUGACGCUGAGGCUCGAAAGUAUGGGUAGCAAACAGGAUUAGAUACCCUGGUAGUCCAUACCGUAAACGAUGAAUGCUAAGUGUUGGAGGGUUUCCGCCCUUCAGUGCUGCAGCUAACGCAUUAAGCAUUCCGCCUGGGGAGUACGGCCGCAAAGCUGAAACUCAAAGGAUUUGACGGGGGCCCGCACAAGCGGUGGAGCAUGUGGUUUAAUUCGAAGCUACGCGAAGAACCUUACCAGUCUUGACAUACUAUGCAAAUCUAAGAGAUUAGACGUUCCCUUCGGGGACAUGGAUACAGGUGGUGCAUGGGUUGUCGUCAGCUCGU
rnacentral:rRNA from 1 species